GGGGGUGCCCGGUUUUGACAGCAGGCAGAGUUUGAUCGUAAGCACGUCGAGCGCUGUGCGGCGGCUCGUAAAUACCGACGCUCGAACUACAAAUGGCAAUAACAGCUACGCACUCGCUGCCUAAUUUUCAAGGAAAAUGGGCUUAAUCGCCGGGGCCAAGGAGCUUCGGCGACGAGUAUCCCGAAAGGGCGUUCCGCUCUUUAACGGCCUUUCAUUACGGGGUAUCAUCAUUUAGAGAUAGCGUGCGGGAGGGUUCCGGCCCGCAUGCGAAAAUCGAGGAACUGGGCUCCGGGUUCGGCUGCUGCCUGCCAGGCUCGGAGAGAAGGACGAAAGGGCGGCUAAGCGUGUAGAAAGCUUUCGGGUUCCCUGUUUGGACGCGGGUUCGACUCCCGCCACCUCCACAC
rnacentral:tmRNA from 1 species